rnacentral:rRNA from 1 species
UGCAAGUCGAACGGAAGUCGUUAUAAAAAGGAUUGAGGAUUUAUCUGAUUGAGAUUUUAUAACAAUGGCUUUAGUGGCGGACUGGUGAGUAACGCGUGAGCAACCUGCCUACUAGAGGGGAAUAACAGUGAGAAAUCAUUGCUAAUACCGCAUAUGCCAUGAACAUCACAUGAUGAAAGUGGGAAAAGAGUAAUCUGCUAGUAGAUGGGCUCGCGUCUGAUUAGAUAGUUGGUGGGGUAACGGCCUACCAAGUCGACGAUCAGUAGCCGGACUGAGAGGUUGAACGGCCACAUUGGGACUGAGAUACGGCCCAGACUCCUACGGGAGGCAGCAGUCGGGAAUAUUGCGCAAUGGAGGAAACUCUGACGCAGUGACGCCGCGUAUAGGAAGAAGGUUUUCGGAUUGUAAACUAUUGUCGUUAGGGAAGAUACAAGACAGUACCUAAGGAGGAAGCUCCGGCUAACUACGUGCCAGCAGCCGCGGUAAUACGUAGGGAGCAAGCGUUAUCCGGAUUUAUUGGGUGUAAAGGGUGCGUAGACGGGAAAGCAAGUUAGUUGUGAAAUCCCUCGGCUUAACUGAGGAACUGCAACUAAA